GUUUUUGAGCCAAGCCCAAAACAUCAUUAAAAUCUGAAAAUUUACAAUCCAAAAAAAAAGAAAAAGAAAGAGAAAAUCUGAAAUUCCAUUCUCAGAACAGAGAGACGAGGGUCUCUGACGGCACAGUGCCUAAAGUAGAAUCUUAUGGUCCCUGAUCCGAUUCCCGAACCCCUCUCACUAAUCCUGCGUAGGAUUCCCAUCCUGACAACCUUGAGUACAACAGGCAAAAUCAAACAAUCCUAAACCCUAGAGGGCUUUGAUCAAUGGCUCUUCAGCGAGCUUCUUCAACAACCUCGUCCAUUCUACGAUCCGCCAAUCUGCCCACAACAACAUUGCUUCUCAUUGCAAUUUUUCCUCUGAUGUAGUUGGCACUCAUAGUUUGGGUGAGAGCAUGAUGAACCAGAUUCUUCAUCUUGACAUAAAUUCACAAAUUGGGAGUUGUAUGCCACUAUUGGAACAAUGAUCCACAACAUUGAGGUCAACCCGGGUCAAGGUGGCAAGCUAGUUCGAGCUGCAGGAACUUAUGCAAAGAUCUUGAAAGAGCCGACGUCUAGAUACUGUUUAAUUAAAAUGCCUUCAGGUGCUGAGAAGUUGAUUGAUUCACGAUGUCGAGCCACAAUUGGUAUGGUGUCAAACCCAAGCCAUGGGGCUCGAAAGCUCAAGAAGGCUGGGCAAAGCCGGUGGUUGGGAUGAAGACCAGUAGUUCGAGGAGUGGCUAUGAAUCCAGUAGAUCAUCCUCAUGGUGGAGGCGAGGGUAGAAGCAAGAGUAGUGGGAAUCAUGGAAGGUGUUCUCUUACUCCUUGGGGCAAGCCAUGUAAGUCUGGGUACAACACUGGACCCCUGAAGUGCAUAAAGUAGUGUCGAUAAAUUAUUUUUUUGAGAUUCUACUUUAGAAUCUAGUUUUCUUUUCAUGCUUCUCAAAUGCAAUUAAUACUAGACUCACAGCAUUUCUUACAACUUUGAGGUGGCAACCUUUGA